rnacentral:rRNA from 1 species
UUGGAGGGCAAGUCUGGUGCCAGCAGCCGCGGUAAUUCCAGCUCCAAUAGCGUAUAUUAAAGUUGUUGCAGUUAAAAAGCUCGUAGUUGAAUUUCGGGGUUCUACCGUUGGUCGGGCUUUGUCUGUACUGGUGUGUAGAAUUUCUACCUUCUGGGGAACCAUCAUGCUAUUAAUUUAGCGUGGUGGGAAACCAGGACCUUUACCUUGAAAAAAUUAGUGUGUUCAAAGCAGGCUUAUGUCUGAAUACAUUAGCGUGGAAUAAUAGAAUAGGACGGUGGUCCUGUUUUGUUGGUUUCUGAAUCACCGUAAUGAUUAAUAGGGAUAGUUGGGGGCAUUAGUAUUCAAUUGUCAGAGGUGAAAUUCUUGGAUUUAUUGAAGACUAACUUCUGCGAAAGCAUUUGCCAAGGAUGUUUUCAUUAAUCAAGAACGAAAGUUAGGGGAUCGAAGACGAUCAGAUACCGUCGUAGUCUUAACCAUAAACUAUGCCGACUAGGGAUCGGACGAUGUUAAUUUUUCUUGACUCGUUCGGCGCCUUACGGG